UACCCAGUCCUUUUUAAUUUUUUUUUAUUUUGAGACAGGAUCUCACUAAGUUGCUCAAAGUGUCACUAAAUUGCUGAGGCUGGCCUUGAACUAAUAGUCAUCCUGCCUCUGGCUCCUGAGUUUCUAGGAUUACAGCUUUGUUUCUCUUCCUCCCACCUUCCCUCUUUUCCUCCCUUCCCUACUUUCUUUUUCAGUUAUCAUUCACUAAAGACAUACAACAAAGCAGGGAAUAUGUUAGGCCUCCAAGAUAUUAAAAUUUGACAAUGAUGCAUAAUUCCUACCCUUAGGGAGCUUAGGUUCUAGUGGGGGAAAGUUUCUCACAUAAAGGCAACAAUUUACAGAUUCUUCUGAACUGUGUAAAAGAGAAAGAAAAAAGAAAGAAGGAAAGAAAGAAAAGAUGGAAAGAAGGAGAGAGAGAAGAGAAGAGAGCUGUAUUUUGGGGCUACUAUAUUAUUUUUAAAAAAUACCAAAAAAUACCCGCCCCCCCCAAUGUCCCACCAGUAUUCUAGGAAGGAUAUGUCUCCAAGAUUAACAAAAACAAUUAUUCUCUCAAGUUAGCCAUGGGAAGUGGAGCUUCAUAGCAAUAACAAUGCUGCUCUUAACAAUGGUAAUUGUCUUAAACACUAUUAAUAGUGUUGCCUUUAACAGCACAGCAAUAGUGCAGCAGAGGUGGCUGUGACCAGAAGUACCUCAUCUCUAGAUCUAAUAUAAAAGGUGAACACACCAGUAUUUCCUGUGCUGCAAGAAUGUCUAGAAAUAAUCCAUUUUUGCAAUACAAAAAUAUUUUGAGAACUUAGGUAGUCUCCUUUUAAGUAUUUUUAAAAAUACACAUGGAAACCUCAAUCUCUCUUUUUGCAUUAAUAAUGAUUUUAAAAAUAUUACUAGCAAAAGAUCCCUCCAUCUAAAUUGCACAUAUGUGAGAAAUAGCUCUCUUGAGCAUUAGCUCAUUGGCAGCCUCCACAUCCAGGGAGAAGCUGGAGGUGUUUACUCUCCCCACAUCCCUCCCUACCUUACUGGCAUCAAAUAGGUGGAGUCCAGAGACAUUGCUAAACAUCCUGCAAUGCCCCCAAACAGGACCCACCACAAAGAACCAUCCAGCCCCAAAUGUCUUCUGAGAUGGAGAAAUCCUGCUCUAGAGAAAAAGACAGCUGGAGAAAAGACUGAACAACGAGGAAAAGGGGUAUCAGAAGGCUUUCUCCCUAUAACCAGUGAGGACGUCCUGAGUGCUGGGUCUGGAAUGCAGAAAGGGAGCAAGAGGCAACCGAUAACAGAUGCUGGGAUUUGGCCACCCCCUUCCUUUCUCUGCCUGCAUCAAUUCCCUAGGGGCCCAGGGUCAGAAGCUUUGAUUGGGCUCAUCGUUCCUAGUUGACAGCUGCACGUUUGUUCUUGUCUGAGUCUCUUGCUGCUUCUCAACCUGGCCUCCGAAGAUGGACUCAUCCAAAGCCUGACAUGGAGACUGACUUAGGGUAUUCAUCUCUGUCAUCAUCUACAUUCACUUAUUUAUUGGGUGCUGACUACAGGCUCCAAGAAACAGUCGGACCACUGAAAGCUAUGCAGCUAACUCCAUCUGAAUAGGCCUGCUCCAAUUUUCCAACUCAGGACUAUUUUUCUCACCUGACCCUGUCUUCUCUGUUACUCAAAUUCUUUUGGGGGUGAAAAAAUGGAAACACAAAGUAGGUAAAACCAAAUAUGAUUUAGGUUGAAAAGCAAUCAAUUGAAAAUUCCUGUAUGCAGAACCAUUGUCUUAUUUAAAUAUAUUUACUUUUUACAUUUAAAAAAUUGCUCAUCAGAGUUUAUUCUACCACUCCAGGUGAAAGAACCACAAGAAAAAUAAAAAAAUAUUUUUAAUUGACACAUAGUAAUGUAUAUAUUUAUGGAGUGCAUGGUGACAUUUCAAAACAUGUAUAUUAUGUGUGAUGAUCAGAUCAGGGCAAUCAGCAUAUCUGUCACCUCAGAUGUUUCUCAUUUCUUUGUGUUGGGAACAUAGAAAAUCCUACUAGCAAUUUUGAAAUAUUAAGUUAGUUGUGGUGACCCAUAGUAGUUUUGCUAUGCUAGAGAAUACCAGGAACUUUUCUUCUUAUCCAAGUGCACCCUUGAAUCAUUAACCAUCCUCUCUCCAUCCUCCCUCCCAGGCUCUGGUAACUAUUAUUCUAUUCUCUACUUCCACAACUUUUUAGCUUCCACAUAUGAGUGAGAAAAUGUAGUGUUUGUCUUUGUAUAUCUGACUUAUUUCACUUAACAUAAUGUCAUUCAGUUUUAUCCAUGUUGCUGCAAAUGACAGAAUUUUUUAAUGGCUGAAUAAUAUUUCAUUGUGUAUGCAUACCACAUUUUCUUGCCCAUUUAUUCACACAUCUGUAGCUGUUUAAAAUGUGAUGACUUUCUUGAUUUCUUUCUUAGAAAUUUUGUUGUUGGUAUAUAAAAAAGCUACUAAUUUGGUAUGUUGAUUUUGUAUCUCUCCACUUUAUUUAAUUUGUUGAUCAGUCCUAAGAGUUUUUCAAUAGCAUUUUUCCCAUGAAUAAAAUCAUGUCACCUUCAAAUAGGAAUAAUUUGAAUUCCUCCUUUCCUAUUUGGAUGUCCUUUAUUUCUUUCUCUCUCUUUAUUACUCUGGCUAAGUGUUUCAACACUAUAUUGAAUAAGAGUGAUGAAAGUAGGCUUCCUUCUGGCAAUAUAUGCAUAUCCAUGUUUAUAGCAGCACAAUUCACAAUACCCAGGCUAUGGAACCAGCCCAUGUGCUUGUCAACAGAUAAAUAAAUAAAAUGUGGUAUAUAUACAUAAUUGUGUUUUACUCAGCCAUAAAGAAGAAUGAAAUAUGUUAUUUGGAGGAAAAUGGAUGGAACUGGAGACAUAAUUUUGAGCAAGAUAAAUGAGAUUUGAGAGAGAAACAUAUUGUUAUGUUUUCCCUCAUAUGUGGAAGAUAAAGGGGAAAAAGACAUAUCAUAAAAGUAGAAAGGUGACCGUAGU